GGGGGACCUCACCCUGCUCUCAUCUCCUCCAGUGUGGUGACGACGGUUCUGCUCGUGUGGCUUCCCGGUGUUUUUCGACAGCGACCGUACCACGUCUUCCAUGGAGUCCAGGCGGGUGGAGACAGCUUUCAUGGUAUUGGUGAAGGCGGCGAAGGUGUCGAAGAUCUGGGUGUUGGACAUCAUGAUGGGUGCUUGAAUUGUCGUCAAGGGAGUGUUGAGCAGGGAUUGUUGAUUAUCGGACGGUGGUGGUGGCGGUGCAUCAGUAAUCUCGAUGACAGUUGGGUCUACCGGAGCCUUCUGGUUCUGAUCCGUAGCGUCUUUGUUCAUAUCCUGAGACAUCCUUCCUCCAAUAGAUGUCAAAAGCCCCUCCUUCUAGCGCCAAUUGUUAACGGAGGAAUCUGGUGAUAACAAGAUUCGGGGAGGGUUGCUGGAACUUGUGGUGGACGAUGACGGCGGACGACGGAGUAUGGGUGGUGA
rnacentral:lncRNA from 1 species